GGAAAAGAAAGGUUCAAUCACCCUUGAGGCCCCUAAUUUUAAUAUUGAUACGGGUGUCAUGAGUACCACAGAGGUAACAUUAAACAGAGAAAGGAUUGAAUGACAACAAUCCAAAUUACAGAGAUAUAUUCAGUUAAAAAUACAGCUUUAAAAUAAAUAAACAAAAUUAAAUUGUGUAAACUAUUAGUAAACCAAACCAUAUAUUUCAC